rnacentral:rRNA from 1 species
AAGAGAUCGGGAUAACACCUGGAAACAGAUGCUAAUACCGGAUAACAACAGAUGAUGCCUAUCAACUGUUUAAAAGAUGGUUCUGCUAUCACUCUUGGAUGGACCUGCGGUGCAUUAGCUAGUUGGUAGGGUAACGGCCUACCAAGGCGAUGAUGCAUAGCCGAGUUGAGAGACCGAUCGGCCACAUUGGGACUGAGACACGGCCCAAACUCCUACGGGAGGCAGCAGCC